rnacentral:rRNA from 1 species
UACAGAGGUCUCGAGCGUUAGGCGGAAUCACUGGGCUUAAAGCGUGUGUAGGCGGCGGGCUAAGUACCUUGUGAAAUCCCACGGCUCACCCGUGGAACUGCUGGGUAUACUGGCGAUCUUGGGCCAACUAGGGGCAGCUGGAACAAGCGGUGGAGCGGUGAAAUGCGUAGAUAUCGCUUGGAACGCCGAAGGUGAAAACAGGCUGCUGGGGUUGUGCCGACGCUGAGACACGAAAGCCAGGGGAGCAAACGGG